rnacentral:lncRNA from 1 species
UCAUUUUUAUUUGCCUAUUGGUAUCCCUGAAGGCCCAUAGGGAUGUCCCAGUAUACGUGAACCAAUAUCCUACAUUGUUAAUUAAUCGGCCGUCCUCAUACCCCGUCCUGUAAGAGUACCAAAAAUAUCAUCCCCUCAAUACUCUGUCCGAUAUGAGGGUGAACCGGUCCGUCCUUAUACUCCGUCCGAUAUGAGCACCAAAAAUAUCAUCUCUCAAUACUCCGUCCGGUAUGAGGGUGAACCAGCCCGUCUCUAUACCCCGUCCGGUAUGAGCACAAAAAAUAUCAUUAUUAGAUACCUCAUCCGAUGUGAGGUAACGUUCACGGUAGGGUUCUCUAUGUAUCCAGUUCAUCCACCACUUCCAAAGAUACCAAGUAAGACAACCAUUUAUUAAUUCACAUGACCAAAUAAUUUUCCGUUUGCAUAUUAAUUUUUAAUUUCAUAAAUCAACCGUAAACCAC